rnacentral:rRNA from 1 species
UUGGAGGGCAAGUCUGGUGCCAGCAGCCGCGGUAAUUCCAGCUCCAAUAGCGCAUAUUAAAGUUGUUGCAGUUAAAAAGCUCGUAGUUGAAUUUCGGGGUUAGUAGGUUGGUCAUGCCUCUGGUAUGUACUGGUCUCACUGAUUCCUCCUUCCUGAUGAACCGUAAUGCCAUUAAUUUGGUGUUGCGGGGAAUUUGGACAGUUACUUUGAAAAAAUUAGAGUGGUUAAAGCAAGCUAACGCUUGAAUACAUUAGCAUGGAAUAAUGAAAUAGGACGUUCGAUCCUAUUUUGUUGGUUUCUAGGAUUGACGUAAUGAUUAAUAGGGAUAGUUGGGGGCAUUAGUAUUCAAUUGUCAGAGGUGAAAUUCUUGGAUUUAUUGAAGACUAACUACUGCGAAAGCAUUUGCCAAGGAUGUUUUCAUUAAUCAAGAACGAAAGUUAGGGGGUCGAAGACGAUCAGAUACCGUCGUAGUCUUAACCAUAGACUAUGCCGACUAGGGAUCGGAUGAUGUUAAUUUUUUAAUGGCUCAUUCGGCGCCUUACGGGAAAC